rnacentral:rRNA from 1 species
ACCUAUGACCAUACUACCCUGAAUAAGCCAUAUCCUUUCUGAUCUCAAAAACUAAGCAGGGUCAGCCUAGUUAGUACCUCAGUGGGAGAACAGUCAAUUCAACUUGGAUUUCUAGGAC